rnacentral:rRNA from 1 species
GACAGGGGUCUCGAGCGUUAAUCGGAAUCACUGGGCUUAAAGGGUGCGUAGGCGGGCCUGUAAGUGUCCUGUGAAAUCCCCCGGCUCAACCGGGGAACUGCGGGGCAUACUGCGGGUCUUAGGAAGGUAGGCGCCGAGGGAACAGUAGGUGGAGCGGUGAAAUGCGUAGAUAUCUACUGGAACGCCGAUGGUGAAGACGCUCGGCUGGGCCUUUCCUGACGCUGAGGCACGAAAGCGUGGGGAGCAAACAGG